ACUUCGGACUUAGUGGCGCACGGGUGCGUAACGCGUGGGAAUCUGCCCUUGGGUACGGAAUAACUCAGAGAAAUUUGUGCUAAUACCGUAUAAUGUCUUCGGACCAAAGAUUUAUCGCCCAAGGAUGAGCCCGCGUAAGAUUAGCUAGUUGGUGGGGUAAAGCCUACCAAGGCGACGAUCUUUAGCUGGUCUGAGAGGAUGAUCAGCCACACUGGGACUGAGACACGGCCCAG
rnacentral:rRNA from 1 species